UACGUAGGGGUCGAGCGUUGUCCGGAGUUACUGGGCGUAAAGCGCACGCAGGUGGCUGAGUCAGUCGAUUGUGAAAGCCCUGGGCUUAACCUAGGAAUUGCAGUCGAUACUACUCAGCUAGAGUAUGGGAGAGGGCAGUGGAAUUCCCGGUGUAGCGGUGAAAUGCGUAGAUAUCGGGAGGAACAUCAGUGGCGAAGGCGGCUGCCUGGCCCAAUACUGACACUCAGGUGCGACGAGCGUGGGGAGCAAACAGG
rnacentral:rRNA from 1 species